GAUGAAGAACGGAGUGAAAUGCGAUACUUGGUGUGAAUUGCAGAAUCCCGUGAACCAUCGAGUCUUUGAACGCAAGUUGCGCCCGAAGCCAUCAGGUUGAGGGCACGUCUGCCUGGGCGUCACAUAUCGUUGCCCAAUGCCUGUUGCAGUGCAAUAGGAAUUUCUAGGGCGAAUGAUGGCUUCCCGUGAGCGUUGUUGCCUCGCGGUUGGUUGAAAAUUGAGUCCUUGGUAGGGUGUGCCAUGAUAGAUGGUGGUCGAGUUUGCACGAGACCGAUCAUGUGUGCGCUCCCCAAAAUAUGGACUCUUUGACCCCACACGCGUCUUUUGACGCUCAUGACGAGACCUCAGGUCAGGCGGGGCUACCCGCUGAGUUUAAGCAUAUCAAUAAGCGGAGGA
rnacentral:misc_RNA from 1 species